rnacentral:rRNA from 1 species
UACAGAGGGUGCAAGCGUUGUUCGGAAUUAUUGGGCGUAAAGCGCGUGUAGGCGGCUUUGCAAGUCGGGUGUGAAAGCCCACAGCUUAACUGUGGAAGUGCGCUCGAAACUGCAGAGCUUGAGUACCGGAGAGGAUGGCGGAAUUCCCCAAGUAGAGGUGAAAUUCGUAGAUAUGGGGAGGAACACCGGUGGCGAAGGCGGCCAUCUGGACGGAUACUGACGCUGAGACGCGAAAGCGUGGGUAGCAAACAGG